rnacentral:rRNA from 1 species
GACGAACGCUGGCGGCGUGCUUAACACAUGCAAGUCGAACGGAAAGGCCCUGCUUGCAGGGUACUCGAGUGGCGAACGGGUGAGUAACACGUGGGUGAUCUGCCCUGCACUUCGGGAUAAGCCUGGGAAACUGGGUCUAAUACCGGAUAGGAGCCAUUUUUAGUGUGAUGGUUGGAAAGUUUUUUCGGUGUAGGAUGAGCUCGCGGCCUAUCAGCUUGUUGGUGGGGUAAUGGCCUACCAAGGCGGCGACGGGUAGCCGGCCUGAGAGGUGGACGGCCACAUUGGGACUGAGAUACGGCCCAGACUCCUACGGGAGGCAGCAGUGGGGAAUAUUGCACAAUGGGCGCAAGCCUGAUGCAGCGACGCCGCGUGGGGGAUGACGGCCUUCGGGUUGUAAACUCCUUUCGCUAGGGACGAAGCUUUUUGUGACGGUACCUAGAUAAGAAGCACCGGCUAACUACGUG